rnacentral:rRNA from 1 species
AGCGAACGCUGGCGGCAGGCCUAACACAUGCAAGUCGAACGGAUCCUUCGGGAUUAGUGGCGGACGGGUGAGUAACACGUGGGAACGUGCCCUUUGGUUCGGAACAACUCAGGGAAACUUGAGCUAAUACCGGAUGUGCUCUUCGGGGGAAAGAUUUAUCGCCAUUGGAGCGGCCCGCGUCUGAUUAGCUAGUUGGUGAGGUAACGGCCCACCAAGGCGACGAUCAGUAGCUGGUCUGAGAGGAUGAUCAGCCACACUGGGACUGAGACACGGCCCAGACUCCUACGGGAGGCAGCAGUGGUGAAUCUUGCGCAAUGGGCGAAAGCCUGACGCAGCCAUGCCGCGUGAAUGAUGAAGGUCUUAGGAUUGUAAAAUUCUUUCAGCGGGGACGAUAAUGACGGUACCCGCAGAAGAAGCUCCGGCUAACUUCGUG